GACGAACGCUGGCGGCGUGCUUAACACAUGCAAGUCGAACGGAAAGGCCCAGCUUGCUGGGUACUCGAGUGGCGAACGGGUGAGUAACACGUGGGUGAUCUGCCCCUGACUCUGGGAUAAGCCUGGGAAACUGGGUCUAAUACCGGAUAUGACCAUUCCCUGCAUGGGGGGUGGUGGAAAGCUUUUGCGGUUGGGGAUGGGCCCGCGGCCUAUCAGCUUGUUGGUGGGGUAAUGGCCCACCAAGGCGACGACGGGUAGCCGACCUGAGAGGGUGAUCGGCCACACUGGGACUGAGACACGGCCCAGACUCCUACGGGAGGCAGCAGUGGGGAAUAUUGCACAAUGGGCGCAAGCCUGAUGCAGCGACGCCGCGUGAGGGAUGACGGCCUUCGGGUUGUAAACCUCUUUCGCCAGGGACGAAGCGCAAGUGACGGUACCUGGAGAAGAAGCACCGGCCAACUACGUGCCAGCCGCCGCAGUAA
rnacentral:rRNA from 1 species